GGGAGGAGUUUAACAUCUCAGAUGAUCUUGUUACAUUUGCUAGACUGUCACAAAGCUCAGUCCUGCUGCAGUGAACACACACACAUGUACAAUGAUACUUCAUUCAGUCAUUUUGCUCUCUGCCUUGGCAUGUGUGAGUUUUGGAGAUGAAAUCACACCAGACCGCAGUGAAGAGUUUGCUGCAGUGUCUUCAACGGUUACAUUAUCCUGCAGUUAUUCCUCUGCAAAUUCACUUCUAUGGUACCGUCAGAAUCCUGGAUCAGCUCCUCAAUUUCUUGUGCUCAUAAUAGAGGGUGUGAAAGAGACUAAGACAUCUGAGGUAGAUCCCAGGUUCUCUACUAAGACUAGAAAAGAAAAAGAGAUCAAACGUGUGGAUCUGGAGUUCUCCUCUGCUGAAGUGUCAGACUCUGCUGUGUAUUACUGUGCUCUGAGGCCCACAGUGACAGGAAACACUAGAACACUGUACAAAAACCUGACACAACUAAAGGUGCACAACUAA